rnacentral:rRNA from 1 species
CCUACGGGAGGCAGCAGUGAGGAAUAUUGGUCAAUGGCCGGAAGGCUGAACCAGCCAAGCCGCGUGAAGGACGAAGGUGCCAAGCAUUGUAAACUUCUUUUGUCAAGGGACAAAAUCAGGCUCGAGAGCCUGACCGAGGGUACUUGAAGAAAAAGCAUCGGCUAACUCCGUGCCAGCAGCCGCGGUAAUACGGAGGAGGCGAGCGUUAGCCGGAUUUAGUGGGGUUAAAGGGUGCGUAGGCGGACUGUUAAGUCAGAGGUAAAAGCCCGGGGCUCAAACCCGGCGAGCCGUUGAGACUGGCUGUCUUGAGAUGUCGAGAGGUAUGCGGAAUGCGCAGUGUAGCGGUGAAAUGCUUAGAUAUUGCGCAGAACUCCGAUUGCGAAGGCAGCAUACCGGCGGCGAUCUGACGCUGAGGCACGAAAGCGUGGGUAUCGAACAGGAUUAGAUACCCGGGUAGUC